GCGUAACGCGUGAGCAACCUACCUCUAUCAGGGGGAUAGCCUCUCGAAAGAGAGAUUAAUACCGCAUAAUAUAUUUUUCCGGCAUCGGGAGAUUAUUAAAUAUUUAUAGGAUAGAGAUGGGCUCGCGUGACAUUAGCUAGUUGGUAGGGUAACGGCCUACCAAGGCGACGAUGUCUAGGGGCUCUGAGAGGAGAAUCCCCCACACUGGUACUGAGACACGGACCAGACUCCUACGGGAGGCAGCAGUAAGGAAUAUUGGUCAAUGGGCGGAAGCCUGAACCAGCCAUGCCGCGUGCAGGAUGACUGCCCUAUGGGUUGUAAACUGCUUUUGUCCAGGAAUAAACCUAAAUACGUGUAUUUAGCUGAAUGUACUGGAAGAAUAAGGAUCGGCUAACUCCGUGCCAGCAGCCGCGGUAAUACGGAGGAUCCGAGCGUUAUCCGGAUUUAUUGGGUUUAAAGGGUGCGUAGGCGGCCUAUUAAGUCAGGGGUGAAAUACGGUGGCUCAACCAUCGCAGUGCCUUUGAUACUGAUGGGCUUGAAUCCAUUUGAAGUGGGCGGAAUAAGACAAGUAGCGGUGAAAUGCAUAGAUAUGUCUUAGAACUCCGAUUGCGAAGGCAGCUCACUAAGCUGGUAUUGACGCUGAUGCACGAAAGCGUGGGGAUCGAACAGGAUUAGAUACCCUGGUAGUCCACGCCCUAAACGAUGAUAACUCGAUGUUGGCGAUAGACAGCCAGCGUCCCAGCGAAAGCGUUAAGUUAUCCACCUGGGGAGUACGCCCGCAAGGGUGAAACUCAAAGGAAUUGACGGGGGCCCGCACAAGCGGAGGAGCAUGUGGUUUAAUUCGAUGAUACGCGAGGAACCUUACCCGGGCUUGAAAGUUAGUGAAGAGAUCAGAGACGGUCUCGUCCUUCGGGACACGAAACUAGGUGCUGCAUGGCUGUCGUCAGCUCGUGCCGUGAGGUGUUGGGUUAAGUCCCGCAACGAGCGCAACCCCUAUGUUUAGUUGCCAGCAUGUAAUGGUGGGGACUCUAAACAGACUGCCUGUGCAAACAGAGAGGAAGGUGGGGACGACGUCAAGUCAUCAUGGCCCUUACGUCCGGGGCUACACACGUGCUACAAUGGAUGGUACAGCGGGCAGCUACAUAGCAAUAUGGUGCUAAUCUCUAAAAGCCAUUCACAGUUCGGAUUGGGGUCUGCAACUCGACCCCAUGAAGUUGGAUUCGCUAGUAAUCGCGUAUCAGCAAUGACGCGGUGAAUACGUUCCCGGGCCUUGU
rnacentral:rRNA from 1 species